AUUGAACGCUGGCGGCAUGCCUUACACAUGCAAGUCGAACGGUAACAGGUUAAGCUGACGAGUGGCGAACGGGUGAGUAAUGUAUCGGGACGUGCCCAGUCGUGGGGGAUAACUACUCGAAAGAGUGGCUAAUACCGCAUACGACCUGAGGGUGAAAGCGGGGGACCGUAAGGCCUCGCGCGGCUGGAGCGGCCGAUAGCAGAUUAGCUAGUUGGUGGGGUAAAAGCCCACCAAGGCGACGAUCUGUAGCUGGUCUGAGAGGACGACCAGCCACACUGGGACUGAGACACGGCCCAGACUCCUACGGGAGGCAGCAGUGGGGAAUUUUGGACAAUGGACGCAAGUCUGAUCCAGCCAUGCCGCGUGCGGGAAGAAGGCCUUCGGGUUGUAAACCGCUUUUGUCAGGGAAGAAACGAGUUUCUCUAAUACAGAGACUUAAUGACGGUACCUGAAGAAUAAGCACCGGCUAACUACGUGCCAGCAGCCGCCGUAAUAC
rnacentral:rRNA from 1 species